rnacentral:rRNA from 1 species
UGGGGAAUAUUGCACAAUGGGGGAAACCCUGAUGCAGCGACGCCACGUGAGCGAAGAAGUAUUUCGGUAUGUAAAGCUCUAUCAGCAGGGAAGAAAUUGACGGUACCUGAGUAAGAAGCUCCGGCUAAAUACGUGCC